UUAUGGGGAGCCACUAUGGCUGAGAGGGAACAAUCGGUUCCGACCCGAUGAACCUGAUGUGGGUAAUGCCAACGUAGGGAGAAUGCA
rnacentral:ncRNA from 1 species